UAUAUCAUUUGCUUUCCUUUCCGCAGGAACCCCCAGAGAGCGAGGAACAGCAGAAAGGAACUUUGAUGGAAACAGGGAAAGUGAUAGUGGAAAAAGUAGGAGGGAAGUCAACAGUUACAAAGUGCUUCUCAAAGUAUCCCCUCAAAUUCAUCAUCCCCAGAAAGGUGGGUUCUUCUGAAACAGAUGCUGUUUGGAUUUACACCAUCACUUAUGGUGGAGGAAUUGUCUCUGGAGAUUCUAUAGCAUGUGAUAUUACAGUUGGAGAUUGUUGCACCACUGUUUUGACCACUCAAGCUUCUACUAAGGUGUACAAAGCCGUGGGAUCGAAGAGCUCUGAACAAGUGUUGGAGAAAAAGUAAACGAAUGAUAAGUUUUGGAGAGAUAGCUGAAGGAGAAGAAAAAAGAAAAGAAAAGGAAAAUGAGAACCUGAAAUUGGUGUCAGAACGGUGAGGUUGAAAUUGUGUGAUAAUGGAGUCCUAGAGGUUGAAAGAUUUUGUAUUAGUUAAUAGGGGGAGAUCACGAGAUGAUAAAUUAUUUGAGCCAUAAGAAAAGGAUACUAUGGUGUGAUCGUCGGCUCUAAAUUAUAUAAAGUAGGCAAGAAUAGGAAGCAAUGCCUUUUUGGCUGUAAUUCCAGAUCCAGUCACCUGUUUCUCCACAGCAAAAUAUUCUCAGAGGCAAG